rnacentral:rRNA from 1 species
UGCAUAUCCCAAAAGCGGAGGAAAAGAAACCAACAGGGAUUGCCUUAGUAACGGCGAGUGAGCGGCAAAAGCUCAAAUUUGAAAUCUGGCACCUUCGGUGUCCGAGUUGUAAUUUGAAGAAGGUAACUUUGGAGUUAGCUCUUGUCUAUGUUCCUUGGAACAGGACGUCACAGAGGGUGAGAAUCCCGUGCGAUGAGAUGUCUAACUCUAUGUAAAGUGCUUUCGAAGAGUCGAGUUGUUUGGGAAUGCAGCUCUAAGUGGGUGGUAAAUUCCAUCUAAAGCUAAAUAUUGGCGAGAGACCGAUAGCGAACAAGUACAGUGAUGGAAAGAUGAAAAGAACUUUGAAAAGAGAGUGAAAAAGUACGUGAAAUUGUUGAAAGGGAAGGGUUUGAGAUCAGACUUGGUAUUUUGUAUGUCUUGCUUUCGGGUGGGGCCUCUGCAGUUUACUGGGCCAGCAUCGGUUUGGAUGGUAGGAUAAUGACAUUGGAAUGUGGCACUACUUCGGUGGUGUGUUAUAGACUUUGUUGAUACUGCCUGUCUAGACCGAGGACUGCGUCUUUGACUAGGAUGCUGGCAUAAUGAUCCUAAACCGCCCGUCUAAAAACCGGGACAACAA